AACGCGAAGAACCUUACCUGGGCUUGAACUACUCGUGGUAAGCCGAUGGAAACAUUGGCUGACCCGCAAGGGAGCGAGCAGAGGUGCUGCAUGGUUGUCGUCAGCUCGUGUCGUGAGAUGUUGGGUUAAGUCCCGCAACGAGCGCAACCCCUACUCGAUGUUGCUAAUCCCGCAAGGGAUGCACUCUUCGAGAACUGCCUUCGAUAAGAAGGAGGAAGGUGGGGACGACGUCAAAUCCUCAUGGCCCUUAUGUCCAGGGCUACACACGUGCUACAAUGGCCGGUACAACGGGAAGCAAUACCGUAAGGUGGAGCCAAACCCUGAAAGCCGGCCCCAGUUCAGAUUGUGGGCUGCAACUCGCCCACAUGAAGGCGGAAUCGCUAGUAAUCGCGAAUCAGCAGGUCGCGGUGAAUACGUUCCCGGGCCUUGUA
rnacentral:rRNA from 1 species